UUAAAGCUAAGCAUUAUGAGCAUAAGUAUACUCCACUUAUCAACCUUGAAUCCUUACACACCCUCUGCACCACAUGGCUGCAUCCAUCCUUUUUUUUCUUUCUUUCUUUCUUCCACCCUGAAUCCGACAGAACCCUAGACAGAUCCCCCGAAAAAAACAACAAACUCAGAUUUCAUUCGAGAAAGCUCUUCGGCACAUCGGAAGAAAAACAACUUCAAUUUCAAUGAGGGUAAGAGUUUCCCACAAGUACCACCGUGCUCCAUGGAAACAAACUUCCUCUGAAGAAUAACAUAACUCCCUUCAACAGGCCAGACAUGGAAACAAACUUCCUCUGAAGAAUAACAUAACUCCCUUCAACAGGCUCUUUCUUGCAGAUCACCGAGAUUUGAUGCACAUUUGUUGAUAAUUGGGUGAACCAGUUUGGACUUAAGAUGCAAAGAAGACCUCUGGAAUAG
rnacentral:lncRNA from 1 species